AACGUAGGAGGCAAGCGUUAUCCGGAUUUACUGGGCGUAAAGCGUGUGCAGGCGGUUUCAUAAGUUGUGCGUGAAAGCUUCAGGCUAAACCUGAAGAGGCCGUGCAAGACUGUGAAACUAGAAUCCAUCAGAGGCAAGCAGAAUUCCAGGUGUAGUGGUGAAAUGCGUAGAGAUCUGGAGGAAUACCAGAGGCGAAGGCGGCUCUCUGGACCAGCACUGACACUGAGGCACGAAAGCGUGGGGAGCAAACAGG
rnacentral:rRNA from 1 species